CAAGUCGAGCGCACUGGCCCAACUGAUAUGACGUGCUUGCACUGAAUUGACGUUGGAUUACCAGUGAGCGGCGGACGGGUGAGUAACACGUGGGCAACCUGCCCUGRAGYGGGGGAUAACAUCUGGAAACAGGUGCUAAUACCGCAUAACAACGAAAACCACAUGGUUUUCGUUUCAAAGAUGGUUUCGGCUAUCACUUCAGGAUGGGCCCGCGGUGCAUUAGCUAGUUGGUAAGGUAACGGCUUACCAAGGCAAUGAUGCAUAGCCGAGUUGAGAGACUGAUCGGCCACAAUGGAACUGAGACACGGUCCAUACUCCUACGGGAGGCAGCAGUAGGGAAUCUUCCACAAUGGGCGCAAGCCUGAUGGAGCAACACCGCGUGAGUGAAGAAGGGUUUCGGCUCGUAAAGCUCUGUUGUUGGAGAAGAACGUGCGUGAGAGUAACUGUUCACGCAGUGACGGUAUCCAACCAGAAAGUCACGGCUAACUACGUGCCAGCAGCCGCGGUAAUACGUAGGUGGC
rnacentral:rRNA from 1 species